GACGAACGCUGGCGGCGUGCUUAACACAUGCAAGUCGAACGCUGAAGCUCAGCUUUUGUUGGGUGGAUGAGUGGCGAACGGGUGAGUAACACGUGAGUAACCUGCCUCCUUCUUUGGGAUAACGCCCGGAAACGGGUGCUAAUACUGGAUAUUCACUGGUCUUCGCAUGGGGGCUGGUGGAAAGGGUUUUUCUGGUGGGGGAUGGGCUCGCGGCCUAUCAGCUUGUUGGUGGGGUGAUGGCCUACCAAGGCUUUGACGGGUAGCCGGCCUGAGAGGGUGACCGGUCACAUUGGGACUGAGAUACGGCCCAGACUCCGACGGGGGGCAGCAGUGGGGAAUAAUGCACAAUGGGCGAAAGCCUGAUGCAGCGACGCCGCGGGAGGGAUGGAGGCCUUCGGGUUGUGAACCUCUUUCGCUCAUGGUGAAGCCGCAACAAUGGUUGUGGUGAGGGUAGUGGGUAAAGAAGCGCCGGCUAACUACGUG
rnacentral:rRNA from 1 species